GCGCCCGUAGCUCAGUUGGAUAGAGCGGCGGUUUCCUAAACCGCAGGCCAGUGGUUCGAAUCCACUCGGGCGUA
rnacentral:tRNA from 1 species